rnacentral:rRNA from 1 species
ACGCCUUAUACAUGCAAGUCGAACGCAGUAGCAAUACUGAGUGGCAGACGGGUGAGUAUAAUGUGGGAAUCUGCCUUUUGGUUUGGAAUAACUCGGGGAAACUUGAGCUAAUACCGGAUAAGCCCUUACGGGGAAAGCUUUAUGCGCCGAAAGAUGAGCCCGCACUUGAUUAGCUCGUUGGUGAGGUAAUGGCUCACCAAGGCAACAAUCAAUAGCUGUUCUUAGAGGAAGACCAGCCACAUUGGGACUGAGACACGGCCCAGACUCCUACGGGAGGCAGCAGUAAGGAAUCUUGCACAAUGGGGGAAACCCUGAUGCAGCGAUGCCGCGUGAGUGAAGAAGGCCUUUGGGUUGUAAAACUCUUUCGUUGGGGAAGAAAAUGACUGUACCCAAAUAAGAAGGUCCGGCUAACUUCGUGCCAGCAGCCGCGGUAAUACGAAGGGACCUAGCGUAGUUCGGAAUUACUGGGCUUAAAGAGCUCGUAGGUGGUUAAAAAAGUUGAUGGUGAAAUCCCAAGGCUCAACCUUGGAACUGCCAUCAAAACUGUUUAGCUAGAGUGUGAUAGAGGAAAGUGGAAUUUCUAGUGUAGAGGUGAAAUUCGUAGAUAUUAGAAAGAACACCAAAAGCGAAGGCAACUUUCUGGAUCACUACUGACACUGAGGAGCGAAAGCAUGGGUAGCGAAGAGGAUUAGAUACCCUCGUAGUCCAUGCUGUAAACGAUGUGUGCUAGACGUUGGAAAUUUAUUUUUCAGUGUCGCAGCAAAAGCGUUAAGCACACCGCCUGGGGAGUACGACC